rnacentral:rRNA from 1 species
AUGGAGUUACAAAGGAAUAUGGUAGGUGAAGAGGUCUGGAAAGGCCCGCGAUAGAGGUAAAAGCCCUGUAACCUAAACUGUGUUCUCUCCGAGACGGAUCCCGAGUAGUGCGGGGCACGUGAAACCCCGUAUGAAUCCAGCAGGACCAUCUGCUAAGGCUAAAUACUACCUGGCGACCGAUAGUGAAACAGUACCGUGAGGGAAAGGUGAAAAGCACCCCGGAAGGGGAGUGAAAUAGAACCUGAAACCGUGUGCUUACAAAAAGUCAGAGCCCUAUUAAUGGGUGAUGGCGUGCCUUUUGUAGAAUGAACCGGCGAGUUACGUUUAACAUGCAAGGUUAAGCCGAGAAGGUGGAGCCGCAGCGAAAGCGAGUCUGAAUAGGGCGAAUUAGUAUGUGGACGUAGACCCGAAACCGUGUGAUCUACCCCUGUCCAGGGUGAAGGUGCGGUAACACGCACUGGAGGCCCGAACCCACGUACGUUGAAAAGUGCGGGGAUGAGGUGGGGGUAGCGGAGAAAUUCCAAUCGAACUCGGAGAUAGCUGGUUCUCCCCGAAAUAGCUUUAGGGCUAGCCUCGGUAUAAGAGUAGUGGAGGUAGAGCACUGAUUGGGUGCGGGGUCCGCAAGGAUUACCAAGCUCAGUCAAACUCCGAAUGCCAUAUACUUAUUGCCGGGAGUCAGACAGUGAGUGCUAAGAUCCAUUGUCAAAAGGGAAACAGCCCAGACCAUCAGCUAAGGUCCCCAAGUGUGUGUUAAGUGGGAAAGGAUGUGGAGUUGCACAGACAACCAGGAUGUUGGCUUAGAAGCAGCCACCAUUGAAAGAGUGCGUAAUAGCUCACUGGUCGAGUGACUCUGCGCCGAAAAUGUAACGGGGCUAAACACACCACCGAAGCUAUGGCUAGAUACGUAUGUAUCUGGGGUAGGGGAGCGUUGUGUAGGGGUUGAAGGUGUACUGAAAAGAGCGCUGGACACUACACAAGUGAGAAUGCCGGUAUGAGUAACGAAAAGAUCAGUGAGAAUCUGAUCCGCCGAAAGCCCAAGGUUUCCUGAGGAAGGCUCGUCCGCUCAGGGUAAGUCGGGACCUAAGGCGAGGCCGAAAGGCGUAGUCGAAGGACAACAGUUUGAAAUUACUGUACCACCGUAAUCCGCUAUGAGCGAUGGGGUGACGCAGGAGGGUAGUGACGCGGACUGAUGGAUGUCCGUCUAAGCAGUGAGGCUGAUGUGUAGGCAAAUCCGCACAUCGUUAAGGCUGGGCUGUGAUGGGGAGCGAAAAUUGUAGUAGCGAAGGUCAU